CCUACGGGAGGCAGCAGUGGGGAAUUUUGGACAAUGGGCGCAAGCCUGAUCCAGCCAUGCCGCGUGCGGGGAGAAGGCCUUCGGGCUGUAAACCGCUUUUGGCAGGAACGAAACGGCGCGAGCGAAUAUCUCGCGUUAAUGACGGUACCUGCAGAAUAAGCACCGGCUAACUACGUGCCAGCAGCCGCGGUAAUACGUAGGGUGCAAGCGUUAAUCGGAAUUACUGGGCGUAAAGCGUACGCAGGCGGCUUUGCAAGACAGGUGUGAAAUCCCCGGGCCUAACCUGGGAACUGCAUUUGUGACUGCAUGGCUAGAGUUUGUCAGAGGGGGGUGGAAUUCCACGUGUAGCAGUGAAAUGCGUAGAUAUGUGGAGGAACACCGAUGGCGAAGGCAGCCCCCUGGGAUGUGACUGACGCUCAUGUACGAAAGCGUGGGAGCAAACAGGAUUAGAUACCCUGGUAGUCCACGCCCUAAACGAUGUCGACUAGUUGUCGGAGGGUAACUCCUUCGGUAACGCAGCUAACGCGUGAAGUCGACCGCCUGGGGAGUACGGUCGCAAGAUUAAAACUCAAAGGAAUUGACGG
rnacentral:rRNA from 1 species